AGCUAUAUUUACAUGACAUAUUCAUAUGCAAAUCUAUCUUGAGAACUCCAUUUGAGACAUCUGUGACUGUGGCUACAUCAUAAGUGAUCAGACACCCAAGGAAAUGGCUGUGGGCUGUGGUACUUGUGUAGUUUGGAGCUAGGAGCUGUCUUUUACAACCUGUUGCUAAUAUGAUGAUGCUUAACUGCAUCCCAAGGGAGAAACACAUUCCCACCUCAUAACUUGGUAGCAUUAGGUGCUAGAUGAAGUGCCUGAUGAUUUUAUGAGGAACAAACUUCAGCCCCUCAUCCCUGAGUACAAAUUGGGUAAAGUUUUACCAAAGCCACUACCCAGAUAUCCUCAUUUGGGACACCUAAGUAUAUUGAUCUUCUGCCUUUUGAAACAGCAUCAAGGAAGUCAAGCUAUGAGGGAGACCACUUGCAUGGUAGUACUGUAAGAGAGAAGCAAGUUGCCAGUCUUUGGCUAUCCCACUGCAAGAGGCUCACCACCAUUCCUACGCUGCUGUAGCAUUUGUUGCUCUUCUGAAGGGCUCAAGCCAAGGAGGUUAUGGCAUCAUUCCUGCGUUUGCUUGGGAUCUCCACAGUCUUGAUAGCUGAUCGCUGAGAAGCUGGUUGAUGAACGGUGGAGUCAUAUUUACCAGAAAGCUGCUUAACAACAGUCCCAAGCAAAGAAGAAGAAAAAGCCCUUCCCUGAUCGCCGUGAGUUUAACUCUUGUAUUGUAAUCUUGUGAAUUCUGUUAGUCCCAUUCCUCAGCAACUUACACUUCAGACAGCAGAUGAAUGGUGGACCUUUGCUGAUAGUUGUAAUCGUUGCUAGGGGACAGUCUGAGGGAGGUGAAUCAUGCCAUUUACAGUCAGCCUAAAGGAACAUUUGGAAAUGCCUGAGCUUAGAAAUUUCCUUCCAUGGUCUGCGCUGCUCAGAGCAGAGUACUUUGUGCCUGUGGAGUGAGUUUCACAGCUACAGAUGAUGAUGAUAGUAAACAUUAACCAUCUUGGUGUCUUUUUUUGCUUGUGUGUGUUUUAAAUUGUUGUGGUGCCUCUUACUUAUUUGAUAAUUAUUAUUUUAAUAAAAAAAAAACCCUGCAAAUGGUAUGAAAAAUGGUAAGAAAGUUGUUGCAAAUCAUACUACAA